AUGUAGUCAGUACAAUAUACAUGUUUGCUGCUAUUAUUAUUAUUACUAUUACUGAUUUCCACCACAUAUAUUAUGGAAACCCAGUGUCAAAUUGAAAUAAGUGGACACUGAAAGAUUUUAAAAAGUUGAACCAAAAUUUGCCACCAUUCUCUUAUAUUUUAACUGUUUUCUGUUACAAAUAAUAUUUAGUCUAAUAUAUAUUUAAACAAUAUAGAAAGAGCAUUCCACAAUCUUUUUCAUUGUCCCAACCCAGCUGAGGCUUUAUUUCAUUCAAAUAUAAGUUAAUUUGUUUGCAAAUAAUGUCAGCCUGAUUUAUAAGUACAUUACCCAGUUUAUGAUCAAUAUUAAAAUUUCAUCAUAUACUAGCUUAACUGUGGGCUUCAGGACAAGGUACAGACAGCAUCAACUUAUUUUACUACUCUUAAGUUUGUGGAUGAAACACCAAACAAGGUCUCAGAAUCCUGAAAUUUCACCACUUGUGAGCGACAAAGUGUCUUGAUUCCAGCAGCGAUUCUUGUCUGCUUUGGCAUUGGGUUUCCUUUGUGACCGUUAACUGCUGAAACUGAGCCCAGAACCCAUGAUCACAUGACCUAACAUUGCAAGAGAUACCAAAGAGGAAGCAUGGCUGAGAUAGCUGGGGAAGCAGGAGCCAUCUUGGGACUGUUGAGUUGAGGGAUGAACGUGAAGGAAGGCAGAACAGAAAGAUGAGGAGUCUGGGGUAUUGAUGGUACUAGGAGGUGCUGCGCUGUCUCCCAGCCAGAGAUUUUUGUUGGGUAGAGACUAAAGUGUAAUUUUGGUAACUUAUACACCGGGCUUUCUGUUGCUCAGAGUGGACACGAAUCCUAACUAGUGCAUAAUGGAAAUGAGUUUUAGACCUAGAUCUGUAUCACCUGGAUUCUUCUUUCAGCUGUCAUCACUGCCUACUUCCAGGAGCAAAUUAAACUUCACUGAAUCACCA